GUGCUUGCUUUGACAGCACAUAUACUAAAAUUAGAACAAUGUAAAGAAGAUUACCAUAGUCUCAGUGCAAGGAUGACCACAAAUUCUUGUUGUGUUUCAUAUUUUG
ensembl:snRNA U6 U6 spliceosomal RNA